GAUGAAGAACGUAGCGAAAUGCGAUACGUAAUGUGAAUUGCAGAAUUCAGUGAAUCAUCGAAUCUUUGAACGCAUAUUGCGCUCUCUGGUAUUCCGGAGAGCAUGCUUGUUUGAGUAUCAGUAAACACCUCAACUCCCUUUUCUUUUUUGAAAUUGGAGCUGGACUUGAGUGAUCCCAACGCUUUCUUCCAAGAAAGUGGCGGGUUGCUUGAAAUGCAGGUGCAGCUGAACUUUUCUCUGAGCUAUAAGCAUAUCUAUUUAGUCUGCCUAAAAAACAGAUUAUUACCUUUGCUGCAGCUAACAUAAAGGAGACUAGUUCUUGUGCUGACUGAUGCAGGAUUCACAGAGACAGCUUCGGCUGACUUUGUAAACUCGAUCUCAAAUCGAGUAAGACUACCCGCUGAACUUAAGCAUAUCAAUAAGCGGAGGA
rnacentral:misc_RNA from 1 species